CCCAAGACCUCUCCUCCUUUCUAUCUAUGCAACCCCAAACUGAUCCAUUCUAAUCAUCGUUCGCCUCUCCUCUUGUCUACUUGGAUGUUCCUCCAGUAACUAGCGGGAUCCCCAAAGAGAUCUACAAGCCUGCUGCUAGUAGGUGGAUCCAGUCUCAUCAUCUUCUGCCCCUCUUCUACUUGGAUGCUUCUUGAGUUGCUCGUUGCAUCCCUGCAGAUUUAUCUUUCAGGGUUUUAUUACAUCACUGGAGUACUGGACAUUGUGUAGCAGUUCCAGCUUGUGCUUUUUGACAAUAGACAUGGAUCAUGAGGUCUUGGAGCGUAUAAUUGAUGGAAGACAGAAGCCAACAGAUCUACCAUUCGCACUUUUGAAGGAUAUCACAGAUAAUUU